UACAGAGGGUGCGAGCGUUGUCCGGAAUCACUGGGCGUAAAGGGCGCGUAGGUGGCGCGACAAGUCAGUGGUGAAAGUUCGACGCUCAACGUCGAAUCGGCCACUGAUACUGUUGGGCUUGAGCACUGUAGAGGCUAAUGGAAUUCCGGGUGUAGCGGUGGAAUGCGUAGAGAUCCGGAAGAACACCGGUGGCGAAGGCGGCCUGCUGGGCAGUUGCUGACACUGAGGCGCGACAGCGUGGGGAGCAAACAGG
rnacentral:rRNA from 1 species